rnacentral:sRNA from 1 species
UAGUCGCGAUAAUGGUAAAAUCGUUUG